UGGCUGAGCGCGGGGAUAUAAGCCCCGAAAGGAAAGCCCUGAGCAGAGGAGGCCUCAGCUUGACCUGUCCCAGUGCGCCCUUGAAACUUUCCUCGCCUUCCACCUCCUGCUCAUCUGCUUCACAAGCUGUCGCUGUGAGUGGCUGGAGCUCAAGCAUGGUCUGGUACUAGGAAAUCCAGGCUGUUUUGUGGGGAAACUGAGGCUGGGAUGGUGGAAGCUGGGGGUGAGUGGUGGGAAACUGGAUUGGAGGGGGCCAUUGGAGGUGGGAAGGAGGCCCGGGAGUCCCGUUGCCAGCACAACCCUCUUUAAUCUACCUCUCUGGACAGCAGCGGGGGUGGGGGUGGGGUUACGUCAGGCAGGGCUUAUGUCCCUCUGACAGAUUAGGAAACUGAGGCAGGAGACGGUGCAGUGCCGGAGAACAUAUGGCAAGCUGGUGGCUGAACCUUGGUCCGCUACCAGCCCCAGGGAGAGCACCGGAGCACGGCCCCGACGGCAGCCGCAGCCUCCCGCCGUGGAGGGUCGAGGCUCGGAAUGACCCACACCCCAAUGUCGCCUUCCCAGGUGGUGUCGGUUCGCAGGUCGUGGCCUCUCAUGGCCACGGUGCUUUUGGCCCUGCUCGUCUACCUGGGGGCGCUGGUCGACGCCUACCCCAUCAAACCCGAGGCUCCCGGCGAAGACGCCUUCCUGGGGUAGCUGAGCCGCUGCUACGCCUAUCCUCGCCACUACCUCAUCCUGGUCACUCAGC
rnacentral:lncRNA from 1 species